CCUACGGGAUGCUGCAGUGGGGGAUAUUGCACAAUGGGGGAAACCCUGAUGCAGCGACGCCGCGUGGGUGAAGAAGUAUUUCGGUAUGUAAAGCCCUAUCAGCAGGGAAGAAAGAAGACGGUACCUGACUAAGAAGCCCCGGCUAACUACGUGCCAGCAGCCGCGGUAAUACGUAGGGGGCGAGCGUUAUCCGGAUUCACUGGGUGUAAAGGGAGCGUAGACGGCCGUGCAAGCCAGGAGUGAAAGCCCGGGGCCAAACCCCGGGACUGCUCUUGGAACUGUGCGGCUGGAGUGCGGGAGGGGCAGGCGGAAUUCCUGGUGUAGCGGUGAAAUGCGUAGAUAUCAGGAGGAACACCGGCGGCGAAGGCGGCCUGCUGGACCGCGACUGACGUUGAGGCUCGAAAGCGUGGGGAGCGAACAGGAUUAGAUACCCGAGUAGUC
rnacentral:rRNA from 1 species